ACACAGACUGACAAAUGCAUAAGUGUGAUCAUUAGAAUUUUACUGAACCACUAAAGCUAAUGUCGGCCUUGGACUUUUGCACAGUACUGUAUAAAAAGAGGUCAGAC